UACGUAGGGUGCGAGCGUUAAUUCGGAAUACUGGGCGUAAAGCGUGCGCAGGCGGUUCGUUGUGUCGGUGGUGAAAGCCCCGGGCUUAACCUGGGAUGCCUGGAAACUGGCGAACUGGAGUGUGGCAGAGGGGGUGGAAUUCCGCGUGAGCAGUGAAAUGCGUAGAGAUGCGGAGGAACACCGAUGGCGAAGGCAGCCCCCUGGGCUAGCACUGCGCUCAGGCACGAAAGCGUGGGGAGCAAACAGGAUUAGAAC
rnacentral:rRNA from 1 species